rnacentral:rRNA from 1 species
ACGAACGUUGGCGGCGUGGAUUAGGCAUGCAAGUCGAACGAAUCCCCUUUGGGUAACUGGAGGGGGGAAGUGGCGAAAGGGGCAGUAAGGCGUGGGUAACCUACCCCCGGGACGGGGAUAGCCGUUCUAACGAGCGGGUAAUACCCGGCGAGCUGACGGGAUCGCAUGAUCUUGUCAGGAAAGGAAAUUCGCCUGGGGCGGGGCUCACGUGGUAUUAGCUAGUUGGCGGGGUAACGGCCCACCAAGGCUGAGAUGCCUAGCUGGUGUGAGAGCACGACCAGCGCCACUGGCACUGAGACACUGGCCAGACACCUACGGGUGGCUGCAGUCGAGGAUCUUCGGCAAUGGGCGCAAGCCUGACCGAGCGACGCCGCGUGCGCGAUGAAGGCCUUCGGGUUGUAAAGCGCUGUCGUGGGGGAGAAAAGCCCGCAAGGGUUUGAUCUAUCCCAGGAGGAAGCACGGGCUAAGUUCGU